GAACCGUCCAAACGUUAUUCGGAAUCACUGGGCUUAAAGGGUGCGUAGGCGGUCCGGAAAGUUGGGUGUGAAAUCCCUCGGCUCAACCGAGGAAUUGCGCUCAAAACUCCCGGACUCGAGGGAGACAGAGGUGAGCGGAACUUGCGGUGGAGCGGUGAAAUGUGUUGAUAUCGCAAGGAACACCAGUAGCGAAAGCGGCUCACUGGGUCUCUUCUGACGCUGAGGCACGAAAGCUAGGGGAGCGAACGGGAUUAGAUACCCCGGUAGUCCUAGCUGUAAACGUUGAGCACUUGGUUGGAGGCUCCUCCCAUAGGCUUCCUGCCCGUAGCGAAAGUGUUAAGUGCUCCGCCUGGGGGAGUAUGGUCGCAAGGCUG
rnacentral:rRNA from 1 species